rnacentral:rRNA from 1 species
AAGUAGUUAAGAGCGUAUGGAGGAUGCCUUGGCUCUCAGAGACGAUGAAGGACGUGCUAAGCUGCGAUAAGCUACGGGAAGUUGCACAGAAACUGUGAUCCGUAGAUUUCCGAAUGGGGCAACCCAGCAUAUUGAAGAUAUGUUAUCCUUAGGGAGGUUAACCCGGAGAACUGAAACAUCUAAGUACCCGGAGGAAGAGAAAACAAUAGUGAUUCCGCAAGUAGUGGCGAGCGAACGCGGAACAGCCCAAACCAUAGCAGUUAAGGCUACUAUGGGGUUGUAGGACUGCAACAUGGACUUAUACAAUGAACAUGAACUGGGUGGGAAACCAGACCAAAGAGGGUGAGAGUCCCGUAACGGAAAGUUGUAUAUACCUAGCAGUAUCCUGAGUAGGACGGGACCGGAGAAAUCCCGUUUGAAUCCACCGGCACCAUCCGGUAAGGCUAAAUACUCCUGAGAGACCGAUAGUGAACAAGUACCGUGAGGGAAAGGUGAAAAGUACCCUGAAUAAGGGGGUGAAAUAGUACCUGAAACCAUACGCUUACAAACGGUCGGAGCAGCUUUGUGCUGUAACGGCGUGCCUUUUGCAUAAUGAGCCUACGAGUUACUUUUUCUGGCGAGGUUAAUCUGUGAAGCAGAGUAGCCGAAGCGAAAGCGAGUCUGAAUAGGGCGUUUAGUCAGGGGAAGUAGACGCGAAACCUUGUGAUCUACCCAUGGCCAGGUUGAAGUUCCGGUAACACGGAAUGGAGGACCGAACCAGUAAGCGUUGAAAAGCUUUUGGAUGAGCUGUGGGUAGGGGUGAAAGGCCAAUCAAACUGGGAAAUAGCUCGUACUCCCCGAAAUGUUUUUAGGAACAGCCUCGGGAGAUGUUUAAUAGAGGUAGAGCUACCAAUAGGACUAGGGGGAGUCAAAUCCUACCAAAUCCUGAUGAACUCCGAAUGCUAUUAAAUUAUCCCGGGAGUGAGGGCAAGGGUGCUAAGGUCCUUGUCCGAGAGGGAAAGAACCCGGACCAUCAGCUAAGGUCCCCAAAUAUAUACUAAGUUGAACUAAGGAGGUUCAGUUGCUUAGACAGCCAGGAUGUUGGCUUGGAAGCAGCCAUUCAUUUAAAGAGUGCGUAACAGCUCACUGGUCGAGCGACAGAGCAUCGAUAAUAAUCGGGCAUCAAGUACAAUACCGAAGCUUAGGUAGUAGUAAUACUAGGUAGGGGAGCAUUCUCUAGACAAUGAAGGUGUGACGUGAGUCAUGCUGGAGUGUAGAGAAGAGCAAAUGUAGGCAUAAGU